rnacentral:rRNA from 1 species
UGGGGAAUAUUGGACAAUGGGCGCAAGCCUGAUCCAGCCAUGCCGCGUGAGUGAUGAAGGCCCUAGGGUUGUAAAGCUCUUUCACCGGUGAAGAUAAUGACGGUAACCGGAGAAGAAGCCCCGGCUAACUUCGUGCCAGCAGCCGCGGUAAUACGAAGGGGGCUAGCGUUGUUCGGAUUUACUGGGCGUAAAGCGCACGUAGGCGGACUAUUAAGUCAGGGGUGAAAUCCCGGGGCUCAACCCCGGAACUGCCUUUGAUACUGGUAGUCUUGAGUUCGAGAGAGGUGAGUGGAGUUCCGAGUGUAGAGGUGAAAUUCGUAGAUAUUCGGAGGAACACCAGUGGCGAAGGCGGCUCACUGGCUCGAUACUGACGCUGAGGUGCGAAAGCGUGGGGAGCAAACAGG